rnacentral:rRNA from 1 species
AUACGGAGGGUGCAAGCGUUAUUCGGAAUCACUGGGCGUAAAGGACGCGUAGGCGGGUUGGCAAGUCAGAUGUGAAAUCUUACAGCUUAACUGUAGAACUGCAUUUGAAACUGCUAACCUAGAGUAUGGGAGGGGGAGAUGGAAUUAGUGGUGUAGGAGUAAAAUCCGUAGAUAUCACUAGGAAUACCGAAAGCGAAGGCGAUCUCCUGGAACAUAACUGACGCUAAGGCGUGAAAGCGUGGGGAGCAAACAGGAUUAGAAACCCUAGUAGUCC